UUCAUCCGAGUUGGAGUUGCGGCAGGCCUCCUUUGAUCUUUAAAAACGCAUUUUCAAAAAGCAGUAAAAGACCCUCUUGACCCACCGAUUCAGCGCUUUUUCCGACUGAGUGUGUGAGAGAUCGCAGGUCGAGAGGAUGACAGCUGGAGUGUGCUGCUCGUUGAUUGCUGCUUUAUUGUGUCUCUCUGUGUACUUGAGCACAACAGAUGCUGAAGGAGCAGCCACAGAACCAGAAAAGCCAGGAGUGUGUCCUAGAAACAAUGUUGAAGAAGCAUUGUUAGGAGUGUGUGCGGAGAUGUGUUCUCAUGACAGUGACUGUCCAGACGAUCAGAAAUGCUGCAGCAAUGGAUGUGGACAUCAGUGUAUGCCUCCAUAUAAAG